AAAGCAAAACUUUCAACAACGGAUCUCUUGGUUCUGGCAUCGAUGAAGAACGCAGCGAAAUGCGAUAAGUAAUGUGAAUUGCAGAAUUCCGUGAAUCAUCGAAUCUUUGAACGCACAUUGCGCCCCUUGGUAUUCCGGGGGGCAUGCCUGUUCGAG
rnacentral:rRNA from 1 species